GUCUACAGCCAUGCUACCCUGAACAAGCCCGAUCCCGUCUGAUCUCGGAAGCUACGCAGGGUCAGGCCUGUUAGUACUUGGAUGGGAGACCACCUAGGAAGAACAGGUGCUGUAGGCA
rnacentral:rRNA from 1 species